rnacentral:rRNA from 1 species
AGUAAUGGCAGGUCAGCAUACUGCCGUGAAUACGUUCCCGGGCCUUGUACACACCGCCCGUCACACCAUGAGAGUUGGGGAUACCCGAAGCCUGUGAGCUAACUUAACGGAGGCAGCAGUCGAAGGUAGAAUCAAUGAUUGGGGUGAAGUCGUAACAAGGUAGC